ANGGNAUGCCUUAGUAGCGGCGAGUGAAGCGGCAAAAGCUCAAAUUUGAAAUCUGGCUCUUUCAGAGUCCGAGUUGUAAUUUGAAGAAGGUAUCUUUGGGUCUGGCUCUUGUCUAUGUUUCUUGGAACAGAACGUCACAGAGGGUGAGAAUCCCGUGCGAUGAGAUGAUCCAGGCCUAUGUAAAGUUCCUUCGAAGAGUCGAGUUGUUUGGGAAUGCAGCUCUAAGUGGGUGGUAAAUUCCAUCUAAAGCUAAAUAUUGGCGAGAGACCGAUAGCGAACAAGUACAGUGAUGGAAAGAUGAAAAGAACUUUGAAAAGAGAGUGAAAAAGUACGUGAAAUUGUUGAAAGGGAAGGGCUUGAGAUCAGACUUGGUAUUUUGUAUGUUACUUCUUCGGGGGUGGCCUCUACAGUUUAUCGGGCCAGCAUCAGUUUGGGCGGUAGGAGAAUUGCGUUGGAAUGUGGCACGGCUUCGGUUGUGUGUUAUAGCCUUCGUCGAUACUGCCAGCCUAGACUGAGGACUGCGGUUUAUACCUAGGAUGUUGGCAUAAUGAUCUUAAGUCGCCCGUCUUGAAACACGGACCAA
rnacentral:rRNA from 1 species